ensembl:Y_RNA Y_RNA Y RNA
GGCUGGUCCAAGUGCAGUGGUGUUUACAGCUAAUUGAUCACAACCAGUUACAGAUUUCUUUGUUCCAUCUCUUCUCCCACUGCUUCACUUGACUAGCCUUAA